rnacentral:rRNA from 1 species
UACGGGGGGGGCAAGCGUUGUUCGGAAUUACUGGGCGUAAAGGGCUCGUAGGCGGCCAACUAAGUCGGACGUGAAAUCCCUCGGCUUAACCGGGGAACUGCGUCCGAUACUGGAUGGCUUGAGGUUGGGAGAGGGAUGCGGAAUUCCAGGUGUAGCGGUGAAAUGCGUAGAUAUCUGGAGGAACACCGGUGGCGAAGGCGGCAUCCUGGACCGGCAUUGACGCUGAGGCGCGAAAGCUAGGGGAGCAAACGGG